rnacentral:rRNA from 1 species
CCUACGGGAGGCUGCAGUGGGGGAUAUUGCACAAUGGGGGGAACCCUGAUGCAGCGACGCCGCGUGGGUGAAGAAGCGCCUCGGCGCGUAAAGCCCUGUCAGCAGGGAAGAAAAUGACGGUACCUGAAGAAGAAGCCCCGGCUAACUACGUGCCAGCAGCCGCGGUAAUACGUAGGGGGCAAGCGUUAUCCGGAUUUACUGGGUGUAAAGGGGGCGGAGACGGCGAUGCAAGCCAGGAGUGAAAGCCCGGGGACCAACCCCGGGACUGCUCUUGGAACUGCGUGGCUGGAGUGCAGGAGGGGCAGGUGGAAUUCCUGGUGUAGCGGUGAAAUGCGUAGAUAUCAGGAGGAACACAGGUGGCGAAGGCGGCCUGCUGGACUGCAACUGACGUUGAGGCCCGAAAGCGUGGGGAGCAAACAGGAUUAGAUACCCUAGUAGUC